CUGUGUGUUAUAUGUGUCACACGGGACUGCCGGUCUUAAGCCGGAGGAAGGUGGGAUGAUGUCAAGUCAGCAUGGCCUUUAUAUCCUGGGCUACACGACACGCUACAAUGGCCAACACAAUAGGUUGCUAAGCCGCGAGGUGGCGCCAAUCCAUAAAGUUGGUCUCAGUUCAGAUUGUAGGCUGCAACCCGCCUGCAUGAAGAUGGAGUUGCUAGUAACCGCAGGUCAGCUAUACUGCGGUGAAUACGUUCCCGGGGCCGUU
rnacentral:rRNA from 1 species